AUACUUACCUGGUACAGGAGAUACUGUGAUCACAAAGGUGGUUUUUCCAGGACGAGGUUUAAUAUUGUAUUCUGGAUGUGCUGACCCCUAUGAGUUCACCAAUUGUGGGAAACUCGAUUACAUAAUUUGUAGUCCUGAGGAACUGUGUUCAUGCUCUCUCCUG